rnacentral:lncRNA from 1 species
GGAGGCUUACAAGUGGCAUAUAAAACAGUAAUAUGUAUCCUUUGAUGGUCACGACUAGCACCUCUUUGAGCAUGAAUCCCAGCAGCCUUUCACUUUCUCUUCAGCUGAUAACAAACAUUAAGCAUAAAAAUGAUAAGAUUGUGUAUUUGAGAGAGACAGUGAGAGAAUUGAGAUUUAAUUAAUUAAUUACCAGGAUUAUCUUGAUGCUAAAAUGGGUGCAAGAGGAAGAAGCACAAUCAAGCAUACAAUUAAUUCUUUCUGGGUUGGUCCAGAUCCAAAUGGUUCAUCGGGAAUAUGCAGUCACCCAUUCACAAUACUGCGCAUCCAGGCAAAUCUCUGGCACUUUCAAGACAUAAGUAGAAGCAACCAUUGUCGCAAUGAUUAAAAGAGCCUGAAGCAACAAACACUAAACAGAAAAUCAACGCAUUUGAAUGAACAUAUUUCUGAAUUUUCUCCAUUUCGCUUUUAUUUUCUUUCCUGUGGCAAUAACUAAGAUCUAAUAAGAAGUUU